AUAAUCUGCCACACGAAGGGACAAAAUGUGAGGAGUGGUGAGCUGUUCAUCUAGAGAGAGUCCAACUGCCCUCCGUAUGCUUUUCCAGUACUGCAGAGGCCAGAAAGGCGCACUAGAAACCAGCUCAUUAGUGCAAAGUUCGUGGUGGGAUGGGGACAGCCUAAGGUGACAGGAGUCUAAACCGUGACAUUGAGCCUGUGUUUUGGAAUGAUGGGAAUGAGAAACAAAGAGUGUGAGUUGGAGUUGUGUUCCAUGUCACGUCUUAGGAACACGUGCAGCCGCCCAGGAGGAAAGAUGAGCAUGGUGCGUUUUCUAGACAACCAAUACCACAAAUAAGGACUCUGAAGAUUUCUUCAGUCUUGGAGCCAGGCUCAAACCACCUGUGGGCCACCAGGAAAGUCUUACACGCGUUCUCGCGACCGGCCAGGAAGAACGCAACAAACCGGAAUCUUCUGCAGCAAAGCUUUAUUGCUUACAUCUUCNNNNNNNNNNNNNNNNNNNNNNNNNNNNNNNNNNNNNNNUUGGCACAUGCGCAGAUUAUUUGUUUACCACUUAGAACACAGGAUGUCAGCGCCAUCUUGCAACGGCGAAUGUGAGGGCGGCUUCCCACAGGAAAGCAUCGAGGAAAGGUAAUAUCUACUUCUUGGAAGGACGCCACCUCCUCCCAAAAGGAGCAUACUCGUCCCUCUCCUUUACUAGCCUAUCCCAUGCCUCUUCUUACCCCAUCUCUAACUCCUCAGCCUGCUGGCUUAGAGGUUAAGCCCUGAGCUUCUCUUUUCUUUGGCUACUGAAUAAAGCCCAUUUUGACCCCAGCACUGACUUGGCCUUGGCAUGAGCCUUUGGACCUGGGUUUGAGAACCCAGGGAAGAGGUUAUUCUGGAACCCUGAACUGACAACACAAUACCAUCAGCGUCUGUCCACCAGAAAAUGCACAUCAAUGCAGAAGUAUCCACGGAAGAGAAGCUGAGCAAGAUGGCCACAGUGCCAGCCCCUUCUCCAGCAAUCUCUCCACAUAGAACCCUAUUCCUACCCCCAAACUGCCACCACCAGACCGAAGGAAACCAGGUGAUGUCAGCUGCCUGGUUUCCAGUAUAAGAAAUAUGAAAAGCUAAACUGAAGAAAGCGAGAAAAGAUGUCCACAUUACUCCUACACCAACUCUAAGCUAGGAGGGAGUCAGUCUGUACCGGCUGAUGGGAGGGCUAUACAUCCUUCCAUCCCUGCAGCAAGCAAGAAGGCAGCUAUGCGUCCUCAUCCACUUGGGUAGCAGGGAUGGACCCAGGACUGGGUCAGAGUUCCAGCCCAGCGGAAGCAGGGUAAAAAAGACAAGAAAGCCACGUGACUAUGGGUCAGAAACCAUGGGAAAUAGAAGAACCCUUCAUCCCUGUGGGGCUUUUUGCUGAGAAGGGCAGGAAGCUUCGGUUGCCACUGGUUACGCCCUAACUACCCAAAGAGACAGUGUGUGCUUCCAGAAGACAUUUUGUCCGAGACAAUAAAUAAACCAAACUCACGUGGAGCACAAAUAAUGU
ensembl:antisense Slc36a1os solute carrier family 36 (proton/amino acid symporter), member 1, opposite strand